GAUUAACGCUGGCGGCGUGCAUAACACAUGCAAGUCGAACGAUGAAACUUAGUAGACUUCUUCGGAAAGACACUAAGCGGCUUAGUGGCGAACGGGUGAGUAACGCGUGAGUAACCUGCCUUACACAAGGGGAUAGCCUUUGGAAACGAAGAAUAAUACCCUAUAAAACCAUAAAAGCACAUGCUAGAAUGGUCAAAGUGAUAGCGGUGUAAGAUGGACUUGCGUCUGAUUAGCUAGUUGGUGAGAUAAAAGCUCACCAAGGCAACGAUCAGUAGCCGGCUUGAGAGAGUGUACGGCCACAUUGGGACUGAGACACGGCCCAGACUCCUACGGGAGGCAGCAGUGGGGAAUUUGGCACAAUGGGGGAAACCCUGAUGCAGCGACGCCGCGUGAUUUAGAAGGCCUUCGGGUUGUAAAAAUCUUUUGUAUAGGAAGAAAAUGACAGUACUAUACGAAUAAGGUCCGGCUAAUUACGUG
rnacentral:rRNA from 1 species